CCACGCCGUAAACGAUGAGUGCUAAGUGUUGGAGGGUUUCCGCCCUUCAGUGCUGCAGCUAACGCAUUAAGCACUCCGCCUGGGGAGUACGACCGCAAGGUUGAAACUCAAAGGAAUUGACGGGGGCCCGCACAAGCGGUGGAGCAUGUGGUUUAAUUCGAAGCAACGCGAAGAACCUUACCAGGUCUUGACAUCCUUUGACCACUCUAGAGAUAGAGCUUCCCCUUCGGGGGCAAAGUGACAGGUGGUGCAUGGUUGUCGUCAGCUCGUGUCGUGAGAUGUUGGGUUAAGUCCCGCAACGAGCGCAACCCUUAUUGUUAGUUGCCAUCAUUCAGUUGGGCACUCUAGCAAGACUGCCGGUGACAAACCGGAGGAAGGUGGGGAUGACGUCAAAUCAUCAUGCCCCUUAUGACCUGGGCUACACACGUGCUACAAUGGGAAGUACAACGAGUUGCGAAGUCGCGAGGCUAAGCUAAUCUCUUAAAGCUUCUCUCAGUUCGGAUUGCAGGCUGCAACUCGCCUGCAUGAAGCC
rnacentral:rRNA from 1 species